GGAAUGUUUCUGUGGCUCCUAAAUAAAAAUGAUAAAGCAAAGGAGUAUGUUGACAGAAUGCUGAAAGUGUCUAAUGGAGCAAGAGAGGGACUAGUUUUGAAAGGAUGGAUAUAUGUUACCAGUGACAAAGCUCAUGCUGCUAAGAAGGCUAUAAAAUAUUUGGAUGAAGGGAUUCAAGACAAUACAGAAAUAUUUGGGAUGAUGGGAAAGGCAAAAUAUUUCAUGGUGCAACAGAAUUACUCCGGAGCUCU